CCUACGGGAGGCAGCAGUGGGGGAUAUUGCACAAUGGGCGCGAGCCUGAACCAGCCAAGUAGCGUGAAGGAUGACUGCCCUACGGGUUGUAAACUUCUUUUAUAAGGGAAUAAAGUGCGGCACGUGUGCCGUUUUGUAUGUACCUUAUGAAUAAGGAUCGGCUAACUCCGUGCCAGCAGCCGCGGUAAUACGUAGGAUGCAAGCGUUAUCCGGAUUUACUGGGUGUAAAGGGCGUGUAGGCGGGACUGUAAGUCAGAUGUGAAAGCCACGGGCUCAACCUGUGGCCUGCAUUUGAAACUGUAGUUCUUGAGUACUGGAGAGGUAGACGGAAUUCGUAGUGUAGCGGUGAAAUGCGUAGAUAUUACGAGGAACACCAGUGGCGAAGGCGGUCUGCUGGACAGCAACUGACGCUGAGGCGCGAAAGCGUGGGGAGCAAACAGGAUUAGAUACCCCGGUAGUC
rnacentral:rRNA from 1 species